rnacentral:rRNA from 1 species
GAUUCUGGCUCAGGAUGAACGCUAGCGAUAGGCUUAACACAUGCAAGGUCGAGGGGCAGCACGGUGUAGCAAUACACUGGUGGCGACCGGCGUACGGGUGCGUAACACGUAUGCAACCUACCCGCUAUUGGGGGAUAACCCGGCGAAAGUCGGACUAAUACCCCAUAUUAUUCUUACCGGGCAUCCGGUAGGUCUGAAAGAUUUAUCGAUUGCGGAUGGGCAUGCGGAUGAUUAGCUAGUAGGUGGGGUAACGGCUCACCUAGGCGACGAUCAUUAGGGGUUCUGAGAGGAAGGUCCCCCCACACUGGAACUGAGACACGGUCCAGACUCCUACGGGAGGCAGCAGUGAGGAAUAUUGGUCAAUGGGCGCUAGCCUGAACCAGCCAAGUCGCGUGAAGGAUGACAAGAUCCAUGGUUUGUAAACUUCUUUUGCAGGGGAGUAAAGUGCGACACGUGUGUUGUAUUGCAAGUACCCUGCGAAUAAGCAUCGGCUAACUCCGUGCCAGCCGCAGC